GAAGGAUCCCGGUGUGCGUCAUCCAGUUCUUGUCUCGCGGACGGUGGAUUCAUACGAUGCAAGCAACCGCACCUCCACCGACGACAUAGUCACCUCACUGGGCGACGCCAAGGGGACGGGGGGCCGAAGCAUCGGUUGCGAUUAGAAUCCACUUGCCGGUGAUUUAGCACGUAAUCAAUCGUGGUUUUUGCGGGCAUUAAUCGCAAUUGAUGUGUGCCACUCUUUCCGGCAUCCGAUUAUUGCAGGUGCUCUCACAUCUCAGUUGAUCUAUUGGAACUACCGACGGGUUCUGGUGGUUUGUUUGGGCACUUCUAAAGCUCACAAUUUGCAAUGGUUGGCACCCAGGGCAUUGCGUCUACCGUGCACUGUCCUCUUCAUCAUGUUGAGGGUGAUCAGAUCUCCAGCCAAUUGGGAUGCACAGGGUUUGCAUGUGUCCACGAAGAGAAAAUUGCAAAAGGAUGGCUAUUAAAGCAUCAAGUGUUAGUAUAUUUUCGGUUUUGCGGACGGAUGUGAUGUUGUGGAUGUGUCUGCUUGCAUCAAGGUUUUUAACCCAGUUAUUUUUGUGUGCAAAAUCUAGAUCUCAAGCUUUCAACAUUGUUCAGUUUCACGCGUAAAUGCAUGCUUGUUUUUCUUAAAGAAUAAUUUUGUUAUAAGGCAGACUUAAGGCUUUCAACAUUGUUCAGCUUUAUGGAUAAAUCCAGGCUUGUUUUUCUUAAAGAAUAAUGUAGUUGCUUUCAAAAUUGCUCGAUUUAUGCAUAAAUUCAUGUAAUAGAUCAAAAUUGAGACCAA